GACGAACGCUGGCGGCGUGCUUAACACAUGCAAGUCGAACGGAAAGGCCCUGCUUUUGUGGGGUGCUCGAGUGGCGAACGGGUGAGUAACACGUGAGUAACCUGCCCUUGACUUUGGGAUAACUUCAGGAAACUGGGGCUAAUACCGGAUAGGAGCUCCUGCUGCAUGGAGGGGGUUGGAAAGUUUCGGCGGUUGGGGAUGGACUCGCGGCUUAUCAGCUUGUUGGUGGGGUAGUGGCUUACCAAGGCUUUGAAGGGUAGCCGGCCUGAGAGGGUGACCGGCCACAUUGGGCCUGAGAUACGGCCCAGACUCCUACGUGAGGCAGCAGUGGGGAAUAUUGCACAAUGGGCGGAAGCCUGAUGCAGCAACGCCGCGUGCGGGAUGACGGCCUUCGGGUUGUAAACCGCUUUCGCUUGUGACGAAGCGUGAGUGACGGUAAUCGGUAAAGAAGCACCGGCUAACUACGUG
rnacentral:rRNA from 1 species